GAUGAACGCUAGCGGCAGGCUUAAUACAUGCAAGUCGAGGGGCAGCAUGAGUGUAGCAAUACAUUUGAUGGCGACCGGCAAACGGGUGCGGAACACGUACACAACCUUCCUAUAAGUGGGGAAUAGCCCAGAGAAAUUUGGAUUAAUACCCCGUAACAUAAUGGUGUGGCAUCACAUUAUUAUUAUAGCUACGGCGCUUAUUGAUGGGUGUGCGGCUGAUUAGAUAGUUGGCGGGGUAACGGCCCACCAAGUCUACGAUCAGUAGCUGAUGUGAGAGCAUGAUCAGCCACACGGGCACUGAGACACGGGCCCGACUCCUACGGGAGGCAGCAGUAAGGAAUAUUGGUCAAUGGACGCAAGUCUGAACCAGCCAUGCCGCGUGAAGGAUUAAGGUCCUCUGGAUUGUAAACUUCUUUUAUCUGGGACGAAAAAAGGCGAUUCUUCGUCACUUGACGGUACCAGAUGAAUAAGCACCGGCUAACUCCGUGCCAGCAGCCGCGGUAAUAC
rnacentral:rRNA from 1 species